GGUCUUGCAGUCGGUGGAGAGCAACUGCGGCACCUGGCUCUAAAAAUUGCGGCCGCCUUGAUCUCGUGAGAUUAUCGUUGCCCACGUGUGCAUGACGUCAGAGCAAGUCGGGAUCAAGUCGGACACAAAUCUAACCGGCAUGCAUUGGGCGCCGAUCGCCAGUGAUCAAUUCUGCGCAGAUCUGGCUCAUCUUGAACGAGCCUAAUUAAUAAAUACCGCUGACACAA